UGGGUCAUUAAGACCGAAGUACAUGAUUCCAUGCUUCCAAGAAAAGCAUCUAGAGAGAGAAGUAGUGCCCGUACCGCAAACCGACACAGGUAGAUGAGGAGAGAAUCCUAAGGCCGGCGGAAGAAUUGCAGUUAAGGAACUAGGCAAAUUGACCCCGUAAGUUCGCGAGAAGGGGUGCCUGCGAGAGCAGGCCGCAGAGAAUAGGCCCAAGCAACUGUUUAGCAAAAACACAGGUCUCUGCUAAAGCGUAAGCUGAUGUAUAGGGGCUGACGCCUGCCCGGUGCUGGAAGGUUAAGGGGAACACUUAGCGCAAGCGAAGGUGUGAACUUAAGCCCCAGUAAACGGCGGCCGUAACUAUAACGGUCCUAAGGUAGCGAAAUUCCUUGUCAGGUAAGUUCUGACCCGCACGAAUGGCGUAAUGACUUGGGCACUGUCUCAACUGCAAAUCCGGCGAAGUUGUAGUGCGAGUGAAGAUGCUCGCUACCCGCGAUUGGACGGAAAGACCCCGUAGAGCUUUACUGUAGCUUAGCAUUGAAUUCCGGUAUUGUCUGUACAGGAUAGGUGGGAGACUGGGAAACUAGGGCGUCAGCCUUAGUGGAGUCAACCUUGGGAUACCACCCUGACAGUACUGGGGUUCUAACAGGACGCCAUGAAGCUGGUGACUGGACAUUGUUAGGUGGGCAGUUUGACUGGGGCGGUCGCCUCCUAAAAAGUAACGGAGGCGCCCAAAGGUUCCCUCAGAACGGUCGGAAAUCGUUCGUAGAGUGCAAAGGCAGAAGGGAGCCUGACUGCGAGACCCACAAGUCGAGCAGGGACGAAAGUCGGGCUUAGUGAUCCGGUGGUACCUCGUGGGAGGGCCAUCGCUCAACGGAUAAAAGCUACCUCGGGGAUAACAGGCUGAUCUCCCCCAAGAGUCCACAUCGACGGGGAGGUUUGGCACCUCGAUGUCGGCUCGUCGCAUCCUGGGGCUGUAGUAGGUCCCAAGGGUUGGGCUGUUCGCCCAUUAAAGCGGCACGCGAGCUGGGUUCAGAACGUCGUGAGACAGUUCGGUCCCUAUCCGUCGCGGGCGUAGGAAAUUUGAGAGGAGCUGUCCUUAGUACGAGAGGACCGGGAUGGACUGACCUCUGGUGCACCAGUUGUUCUGCCAAGAGCAUGGCUGGGUAGCUAAGUCGGGAAGGGAUAAACGCUGAAAGCAUCUAAGCGUGAAGCCCCCCUCAAGAUGAGAUUUCCCAUAGCAUAAGCUAGUAAGACCCCUUGAAGAACACAAGGUUGAUAGGUCAGAGGUGGAAGUGCGGUAACGUAUGUAGCUGACUGAUACUAAUAGGUCGAGGGCUUGAUC
rnacentral:rRNA from 1 species